UCUAAUACUUUAGUAGAAUAUUUUUCUUUAAUGUUUUUAUGGUUCAUUGCUUAUAGGCACAUGCUGGUUAUAGGAAUCACCUAAGAAGAAGAACAUCAAUUGAAGAAUAGCCUUUAUCAGACUGGGCAUCUCUGUGGAGCUGGGCUGUAUACGAAAGGAAACUCCCCAAAUAGCAAAGUGAAUAAAAAAUAACUUCAGAAGAAAGGAUAUUGAAGACAUCUAGAAGAGGAGGAGCAUCUCCUUGAGGUUGGACUGGAUGAGAGAGAAGUUGCUAACUCACAACAUUGAGGGGAGGCUCAUUCUCUUCAGUGGGCAGAGCUUCUUCAGACACGUGGAGCUUCUUCAUCUGACUCAUCUAAAAUGAAGAAAUU